rnacentral:ncRNA from 1 species
GUAAUAACGAUGCAAAGGACUAGUAAUAAAUAAUUCAGGUAUAGCGAGACAGUGGUAGGUGGAAACUGUUCCUGAACAUUUAUGAACUCACCUUUAAUGUUGCAGAAGUGAAUCUAGUAGUUUCUGCCGUGAAUCCACGUUACGGAUACAAAGUGAACGUGUGAUUAACGUUAAUUUGGGUGGUACCGCGGGAGAUACAGCUUCUCGUCCCUUUU